UAACAAUCGAAACCGCAUGUUUUUGAUUUGACAGGCGCUUUCGGGGGUCGCUGAGGGAUGGAGCCGCGGUGUAUUAGCUAGUUGGGGAGGUAACGGCUCAGCUAGGCCACGAUGCAUAGGCGACCUGAGAGGGUGAUCGGCCACAUUGGGACUGAGACACGGGCCAAACUCCUACGGGAGGCAGCAGUAGGGAAUCUUCGGCAAUGGUUGAAAGUCUGACCGAGCGACGCCGCGUGAGUGAAGAAGGUUUUCGGAUCGUUAAACUCUGUUGUUAGAGAAGAACAAGGAUGAGAGUUACUGUUCAUCCCUUGACGGUAUCUAACCAUUAAGCCACGGCUUACUACGUGCCAGCAGCCGCGGUAAUACGUAGGGGGCAGGCGUUGUCCGGAUUUUAUUGAGCGUAAAGCGAGCGCAGGCGGUUUCUUAAAGUCUGAUGUGAAAAGCCCCCGGCUCAACCGGGGAGGGGCAUUUGAAAACUGGGAGGACUUGAGUGCAGAAAGAGGAGAGUGGAAUUCCC
rnacentral:rRNA from 1 species